CCUACGGGAGGCUGCAGUGGGGAAUAUUGGGCAAUGGAGGAAACUCUGACCCAGCAACGCCGCGUGAAUGAUGAAGGUCUUCGGAUUGUAAAGUUCUUUUCUAAGGGAAGAAGAAAGUGACGGUACCUUAGGAAUAAGCCUCGGCUAACUACGUGCCAGCAGCCGCGGUAAUACGUAGGCGGCAAGCGUUAUCCGGAAUGACUGGGCGUAAAGGGUGCGUAGGUGGUUUGACAAGGUGGUAGCGUAACUCCGAGGCUUAACCGCGGAACUACUACCAAAACUGUUGGACUCGAGUGCAGGAGAGGAAAAUGGAAUUCCUGGUGUAGCGGUGGAAGGCGUAGAUAUUAGGAGGAACACCAGUGGCGAAGGCGAUUUGCUGGACUGUAACUGACACUGAGGCACGAAAGCGUGGGGAGCAAACAGGAUUAGAUACCCUUGUAGUC
rnacentral:rRNA from 1 species